GACGAACGCUGGCGGCGUGCUUAACACAUGCAAGUCGAACGAAGUGGCGAACGGGUGAGUAAUACGUGAGUAACCUGCCCUCCUUUUUGGGAUAAGCCUUGGAAACGGGGUCUAAUACCGGAUAAAGGGGGAUGGGCUCGCGGCCUAUCCGCUGGUUGGUGGGGUGAUGGCCUACCAAGGCGGUGACGGGUAGCCGGCCUGAGAGGGUGAACGGCCACAUUGGGACUGAGAUAAGGCCCAGGGUCCUACGGGAGGGAGCAGUGGGGGAAAUUGACCAAAGGGCGAAAGACUGAUGCAGCGACGCCGCGUGGGGGAUGAAGGCUUUAGGGUUGUAAACCUCUUUCGCUAUAAAAAGGGUAGGUGGAGAAGAAGCGCCGGCUAACUACGUGCCAGCAGCCGCGGUAAUUC
rnacentral:rRNA from 1 species